rnacentral:rRNA from 1 species
GGUGAACGCUGGCGGCGUGCUUAAGACAUGCAAGUCGAACGGGCUCUUCGGAGCCAGUGGCGCACGGGUGAGUAACGCGUAACUGACCUACCCCAAAGUCGCGGAUAACGAUUCGAAAGAAUCGCUAAUACGUGAUGUGCUGUCAGAUCCUGUUCUGCCAGUAAAGAUUUAUUGCUUUGGGAUGGGGUUGCGUUCCAUCAGCUAGUUGGUGGGGUAAAGGCCCACUAAGGCGACGACGGAUCGCCGGCCUGAGAGGGUGGCCGGCCACAGGGGCACUGAGACACAGGUCCCACUCCUACGGGAGGCAGCAGUUAGGAAUCUUCCACAAUGGGCGAAAGCCUGAUGGAGCGACGCCGCGUGAGGGAUGAAGGUCUUCGGAUCGUAAACCUCUGAAUCAGGGACGAAAGACGCGAAAGCGGGAUGACGGUACCUGAGUAAUAGCACCGGCUAACUCCGUG